AAAGAAAGAAGGAAAAGGGGGAAAAUUGGGAUUUCAAGGCUUGAAAGUUAAAUAGGUAAGUUAAUUUAGCCAUUUUUACUUAAUUUUGAUGUUUUGGAAGCUUUGGGAUAAGGUUUUGAUGAAAUUAAGUGAAUAUUUUGAAAGUUAUUAGAUUUCUAAAUAUUGUUCAUGUUGAAUAAAAAGAUGAAUUAGGGGUUAGAUUGAUAAGAAUUCAAGUUAGAAAUGAAAUAAGGAUUGAAUUGUAAAGUAAUUCAUAAGUUUUAUGUUGUAGGGACUAAAUUGAUGAAAUUUUGAAAUUAGGAAAAUAUGCUGGAAAUUUAAUAGUUAAGUAUGAGUUUGGUUAAAAAUUGAGUAGAAAUAAAGUAUGAAUUAAAAUAGAAAAGUAAGUGAAUUUAGUUAGGAUUAAGUUGAAAUUAAAAGUAGAAAAUCAACAUUUUGCACUAAGACUAUUUUGGACAGCAGUUUGAAAAAUCACCAAAAAUUGUAUAAAUUUAAUUAGAGAAUGAAUAAAAUAUAGAAUUAAAUUUUAUUGAGUCUAGUUUCUUAUAGAAGAAACGGUGUAAGCAAUUGAAUUGUAAAUUAUGAGAUAUAAUGAAUUUUGUGAGAUAAGGUUAGAAUGAAUUUGGGUUCCUGUUCUGACUUUGGAAAAUCACCAAAAAUUGGAGAAAAAUAAUUAUAGGCUUAAAGUUAUAUGUUUAGAAUCCCUAAUGAGUCUAUUUUCAAGAUAAAUCAACGGGAAUAUUAUCCGAGUUCUGUACUGUGAGAUAAUUAAUUUUUAGUGAAGAAGGGUCGAAACUGUCAGACAGCAGAAUAAGGGUGAAUUUAAAGAAUAAACUGUAUUUAAUGGCUAAACUAAAAAUUCUGAAAAUUUUAUGGUAAGAAGAUUUGUGAGUCUAGUUUCAGGAAAAAUUAGCAAAUCUUAAUUUAGAAUUCUGUAACUCAAGAUAUAAAUUAGUAAUGUAUUAAUGAUUAUGAAUUGUAUUAAUUUCGUAGUCAAUGUGGUACCGGAAAUCUCGGCUAAGAAAGGACAAGACAAAGUCAACGGGAGUUAGCUCAAAAACUACGGUUUGUAUUUUUAUAAUCCGAACCUAGUUAUUAAUUGUUAUAUUUUUUUAUUCAAUGCAAUUAAUAAAUAUUGAAGUGAGAAUUAUUGUGUUUAUAAUGGAAAUGGAUUAAUUUAGUGUGUGAUAAAUUUAUAUUGAAUUGAUUUAUGAAUAUAUAUAAAUCUUUGAAUUGAAAUGAAUAUUGAUGUGGAAAUUGAAUAAUAAAUAUUUGUUAUAUUGGAAAAUAUAUGUAGUUAGAAGUGUGAUAAAAUUGAUAGAAAAUUGUGAUUAUUAUGAAAUUGAAUAUUUAUUAGUGAAAAGUUAAUGGAAUUAUAUUGAAUUGAAAAUAUAUAGUUAAUUAAUUAAAAUAUGAAUUAAUUGAAAACUGAAAAAUGAAUUAAAUACCCUAUUAACUAGUCAGACUAGUCAGAUAUAGUUGGCAUGCCCUAGGAUAUGGAAGAGUACAGGUUUUGUCAGCUUACUGAUCAAGCACUUAUGUGCCGACUACUAUUACUGUUACUGUUACUGUUACCGAUUCGGCACUUUGUGUGUCGGAUAUUGUUACUGUUACCGUUAUUGUUACUGUUUCGGAUUUGUUCCGAUGAGGUACUCUGUGUACCGUACUGCUACUGUUACUGUUAUUGUUCCGGCUUCAGCCGAUGAGGCACUAUGUGCCAUACUGGUGUGUUGGUUGGAUCCGUGUAUCCGUCUAGGUCCGAGUCAUGUUAAUAGGGGUAAAUAAAGGUAUAAAAUAACUGAUUAUUACUGAAUAAUUGACUGUUACCGGAUACUUGACUGUUACUGGAUAUUAGACUGUUACUGAAUAACUGAAUAUUACUGAAUAAUUGAUCAUUACUGAAUAACUGAUUGUCACUGAAUGAAUGACUGUUACUGAAUAACUUAAUUGUUACUGAAUAUAUGAUUUUACUGAAUAAUUGACUGUUACUGGAUAACCGAUCAAUUAAUCGAUACUGAAUAACUGGUUAUUAUUGAAUAAUUGAUUGUUACCGAAUAACUAACUGUUAUUGAAUAAAUAAUUGUUCUGAUUGUUAAUAAACAUUACUGAUUGAUUAAUUGCCAUUGAAAUUAAUAAAUGAUUUGAAAUUUAAAGUAAACCAAAACAUUGGUUGGAAAAUGAAUGUUUGAAUACUCAUUGAGUUUGAAUAGUUCAAUAUAUAUAUAAAAUAAUAAGUUUUAUAAUUACUUAAGUGUUCAGAUUAUAGAAAUACCACUGAGUGUAUACUCAGCGUAUGGUUUGUUUCCGUGCGCAGGUUAAGUUAAGGCUAGACUGUUGAAUCAGCAUCCCAGGCCGAUCCCGAAUUCAAUGAGGUAAAGUAUGUUGAGUAUUGAUAAUGGCAUGUGCCUAGGAUGUUUAAUGAGAGUCAUUUAGGUUGUAAAAUUAUUGAAGAAAUAAGUAAAUUAUGGUUGGCAACGGUAUAUAGUAUGAAUUUUGAAAUUGAUUAAAAAUUCGUAGUGAUUCUAAAUUAGUUCCAAAUUGAAUUUAUUGUUCAUAUUGGAUCGCGAGGGCUCAUUAAUGGGACGACAUCUUAAAACUAGGGUGAGUGUGAAUAUUUAUUUUAAUUAAUAACCGAAAUUGGGCUGUACUGAUUGGUAAUGUCUUGUAACCCUGUUCCGACGACGGUAUAGGGUUAGGGGACGUUACAUGUAAUCCGUUUUAUGUAAAGAAAUUUGUUUUUUUAGAAAAGUUGUUCUAAUAGAAUUGAAUUCAGAAUCAACGCCUUUCUUUCUUUUGCAUUCAUUCCAUGCAUUUGCAUAGCAUUGCAUCAUUUGCAUUAGAUUUUCACAAAAGGACUCUAAUUAAUUGAAAUCAUUUCAGUUAAUCUGGAAACCGAUAAAACUUACCAACCAAGCAUCGCUACGGUACACGUGCUAAGGCAAAUGAUAUGGACCAAAGAUUGGAAAGACUUAAACAACUUCAAAGAGAGAUACAUGACCAGUUACAAAUGCAAAUGCAAGAGCAACUGAUGAGGAUACGGC
rnacentral:lncRNA from 1 species